UUCUGGAAAACCACUUCCUUUGUGGGUAAGAGAGGUUUGUAUAAACACAUUCACUGCAGGACCAGCGUACCAGCGGACAAACCCAAAGCAAUCGAAGUGUCCACCGGCAGCGGCAGGCCCCACAGACGAGGCUGUGCUAUACCUGCCGCAAUCUGGAAAGCUCUCAAGCAAAGUGGAAUGAAGUUAAAAAGAAAAAAGGCUAAACAAUAUGCAGGAAACGAACCCAUUUGUAUAAAAAUAUGGACAAAACCUAAACUAUGCUUCUUUGUCCACAUAACUUGUACACAGACUGCAGAGAACAAAUUCUGGAAGGACACCUCCCAAGCUCCUGACGGGGUUAGUAGGAUCCACGGGUCUUGCUUUUCACUCUCUAACUUCCAACUUCCUGCAACCAGUGCAUUUUCCCAAGAGGGGGUGUUUUUGUGUCAUGUCAUUAAAACACAGACAAGUGAAUAAAUAUAUGGAGACAGAAAACAAAACAAAACAAAACAAAAACAAAAACGGAGGGAGUGGAAGAGGAAGGAAAAACAGAGGAAGGGAAGACGGCGAGGCAAGCUGCUGAAUUCCAGAGCUCGAUGACGUUUCCACAGGCCAAGGGACAGGGGUGGGACACACAACAUUCUGGCUCAACUGGCAAAGGCCUUUCAUUCCAAAAAGAAAACUAUGUCAGCGUUAAAGAAAUGGGGCUCGGGAUGCGGCCAGGUCCCCAUCAGCAGGAUGACAGAGGCUUUCAUCAGGGCUGACAGGGCCUGCGACGCAGGGAGGGAGGAGCUGCCAAGGCAGGGAGGCGGCUGCACACCGGGCACUGGAAUGUUCCCCGCUCACCUGCACAAGCCCCUGUCUGCUGUGAGUCAAGGUCAGCUCUUCCACAUCCUGCUGGGAGCACGGCGGGGACUCAACUGGGGACACGGGUGUUCACGAGCUAAUAAACCCACGAGGAAAGCUUCUAAUUCAUCUCAGCAUCACAAAGAGCAGGGAGAGAGAGAGAGAGAGAGAGCUCGCGAGCACAAGCAGCAGGAGAAGCAGCCCCCCGCCG